rnacentral:tRNA from 1 species
UAAGACUUAUGAACUACUAAUUCAUAUCUUCUGAAUGCAACUCAAAACUUUCAUUAAGCUAAAGCCUUC